rnacentral:rRNA from 1 species
UACAGAGGUCUCAAGCGUUGUUCGGAUUCAUUGGACGUAAAGCGUGCGCAGGCGGUUUUGUAAGACAGAUGUGAAAUCCCCGGGCUUAACCUGGGAACUGCAUUUGUGACUGCAAGACUAGAGUGCGGCAGAGGGGGGUAGUAUUCCACGUGUAGCAGUGAAAUGCGUAGAUAUGUGGAGGAAUACCGAUGGCGAAGGCAGCCCCCUGGGUCGACACUGACGCUCAUGCACGAAAGCGUGGGGAGCAAACAGG